rnacentral:rRNA from 1 species
CCUACGGGAGGCAGCAGUGGGGAAUAUUGGGCAAUGGGCGCAAGCCUGACCCAGCAACGCCGCGUGAAGGAAGACGGCUUUCGGGUUGUAAACUUCUUUUGUCAGGGACGAAGCAAGUGACGGUACCUGACGAAUAAGCCACGGAUAAAGACGUGCCUGCGCCCGCGGCAAUACGUCGGUGGCAAGCGUUAUCAGGAUUUACUGGGUGUACGGGGCGUGUAGGCGGGACUGCAAGUCAGAUGGGAAAACCACGGGCUCAAACUGUGGCGUGCAGUUGAAACUGUGGUCCUUGAGUACUGGAGAGGCAGACGGAAUUCGUGGUGUAGCGGUGAAAUGCGUAGAUAUUAGGAGGAACACCAGUGGCGAAGGCGGUCUGCUGGACAGCAACUGACGCUGAGGCGCGAAAGCGUGGGGAGCAAACAGGAUUAGAUACCCUGGUAGUC